rnacentral:rRNA from 1 species
AAUUUUAAGGUCAAGCUACAAAGGGCGCAUGGUGAAUGCCUUGGCACUAGGAGCCGAAGAAGGACGCGAUAAGCUGCGAUAAGCCUUGGGUAGCCGCAAAUAGGCUGAGAUCCAGGGAUUUCCGAAUGAGGAAACUCACAUGGGUAACCCCAUGUAUUAUGCACUGAAUACAUAGGUGUAUGAGGGUAAACCCGGGGAACUGAAACAUCUAAGUACCCGGAGGAAGAGAAAGAAAAAUCGAUUUCCUAAGUAGCGGCGAGCGAACGGGAAAGAGCCCAAACCAGAAACUUGUUUCUGGGGUUGUGGAUAGAUCAUAAAAGAAGAGGUAUCUUAAUCGAAGAGGGCUGGAACGCCCUACCAUAGAAGGUAAUAGUCCUGUAGGUAAAAAGAGAAAACUUCAAGAUCUAAUCCAGAGUACCACGAGACACGUGAAACCUUGUGGGAAGCAGGGAGGACCACCUCCCAAGGCUAAAUACUACCUAGUGACCGAUAGUGAAGCAGUACCGUGAGGGAAAGGUGAAAAGAAC